GGCGAAGCUUCUGAUCGAAGCCCCGGUAAACGGCGGCCGUAACUAUAACGGUCCUAAGGUAGCGAAAUUCCUUGUCGGGUAAGUUCCGACCUGCACGAAUGGCGUAAUGAUGGCCAGGCUGUCUCCACCCGAGACUCAGUGAAAUUGAACUCGCUGUGAAGAUGCAGUGUACCCGCGGCAAGACGGAAAGACCCCGUGAACCUUUACUAUAGCUUGACACUGAACAUUGAGCCUUGAUGUGUAGGAUAGGUGGGAGGCAGGGGGUGAAAGGCCAAUCAAACCGGGAGAUAGCUGGUUCUCCCCGAAAGCUAUUUAGGUAGCGCCUCGUGAAUUCAUCUCCGGGGGUAGAGCACUGUUUCGGCUAGGGGGUCAUCCCGACUUACCAACCCGAUGCAAACUGCGAAUACCGGAGAAUGUUAUCACGGGAGACACACGGCGGGUGCUAACGUUCGUCGUGAAGAGGGAAACAACCCAGACCGCCGGCUAAGGUCCCAAAGUCAUAAUUAAGUGGGAAACGAAGUGGGAAGGCUCAGACAGCCAGGAUGUUGGCUUAGAAGCAGCCAUCAUUUAAAGAAAGCGUAAUAGCUCACUGGUCGAGUCGGCCUGCGCGGAAGAUGUAACGGGGCUAAAUUAUGCACCGAAGCCGCGGCAGCGAUAUGUAAAUAUUGUUGGGUAGGGGAGCGUUCUGUAAGCCUGUGAAGGUGUGCUGUGAGGCAUGCUGGAGGUAUCAGAAGUGCGAAUGCUGACAUAAGUAACGAUAAUGCGGGUGAAAAACCCGCACGCCGGAAGACCAAGGGUUCCUGUCCAACGUUAAUCGGGGCAGGGUGAGUCGACCCCUAAGGCGAGGCUGAAAAGCGUAGUCGAUGGGCAACGGGUUAAUAUUCCCGUACUGGUGGUAACUGCGAAGGGGGGACGGAGAAAGCUAAAUCAUCCGGGCGACGGUUGUCCCGGUUUAAGCGUGCAGGUGGACUGACCAGGCAAAUCCGGUCGGUUGUUAACACUGAGGCGUGACGACGAGCCACUACGGUGGUGAAGUGAUUGAUGCUCUGCUUCCGGGAAAAGCCUCUAAGCUCCAGGUUACCAUUAAUCGUACCCCAAACCGACACAGGUGGUCAGGUAGAGAAUACUCAGGCGCUUGAGAGAACUCGGGUGAAGGAACUAGGCAAAAUGGUGCCGUAACUUCGGGAGAAGGCACGCUGGCAUUAGGUGAAGUGGUUUACCCACGGAGCUGAAGCCAGCCGCAGAUACCAGCUGGCUGCAACUGUUUAUUAAAAACACAGCACUGUGCAAACACGAAAGUGGACGUAUACGGUGUGACGCCUGCCCGGUGCCGGAAGGUUAAUUGAUGAGGUUAGCGUAAGCGAAGCUUCUGAUCGAAGCCCCGGUAAACGGCGGCCGUAACUAUAACGGUCCUAAGGUAGCGAAAUUCCUUGUCGGGUAAGUUCCGACCUGCACGAAUGGCGUAAUGAUGGCCAGGCUGUCUCCACCCGAGACUCAGUGAAAUUGAACUCGCUGUGAAGAUGCAGUGUACCCGCGGCAAGACGGAAAGACCCCGUGAACCUUUACUAUAGCUUGACACUGAACAUUGAGCCUUGAUGUGUAGGAUAGGUGGGAGGCAAUGAAGUGUGGACGCCAGUCUGCACGGAGCCAUCCUUGAAAUACCACCCUUUAACGUUUGAUGUUCUAACCCGGGUCCAUAAUCUGGAUCGGGGACCGUGUCUGGUGGGUAGUUUGACUGGGGCGGUCUCCUCCCAAAGAGUAACGGAGGAGCACGAAGGUUGGCUAAGCAUGGUCGGACAUCAUGCGGUUAGUGCAAAGGCAUAAGCCAGCUUGACUGCGAGAGUGACGGCUCGAGCAGGUACGAAAGUAGGUCUUAGUGAUCCGGUGGUUCUGAAUGGAAGGGCCAUCGCUCAACGGAUAAAAGGUACUCCGGGGAUAACAGGCUGAUACCGCCCAAGAGUUCAUAUCGACGGCGGUGUUUGGCACCUCGAUGUCGGCUCAUCACAUCCUGGGGCUGAAGUAGGUCCCAAGGGUAUGGCUGUUCGCCAUUUAAAGUGGUACGCGAGCUGGGUUUAGAACGUCGUGAGACAGUUCGGUCCCUAUCUGCCGUGGGCGCUGGAAGAUUGAGAGGGGUUGCUCCUAGUACGAGAGGACCGGAGUGAACGCACCACUGGUGUACGGGUUGUGAUGCCAAUUGCAUUGCCCGGUAGCUAAGUGCGGAAGAGAUAACCGCUGAAAGCAUCUAAGCGGGAAACUUGCCUCGAGAUGAGUCUUCCCUGACCCUUUAAGGGUCCUGAAGGAACGUUUGAGACUAAGACGUUGAUAGGCUGGGUGUGUAAGCGCAGCGAUGCGUUGAGCUGACCAGUACUAAUGAACCGUGAGGCUUAACCUG
rnacentral:ncRNA from 1 species